UACGUAGGAGGCAAGCGUUGUCCGGAAUUACUGGGCGUAAAGCGCGUGUAGGUGGUGGGACAAGUCUGCUGUGAAAGCGCCUGGCUUAACCGGGCGAGGUCGGCGGAAACUGUUCGACUCGAGGACGGUAGAGGGGGGUGGAAUUCCCGGUGUAGUGGUGAAAUGCGUAGAGAUCCGGAAGAACACCGGUGGCGAAGGCGGCCUGCUGGGCAGUUGCUGACACUGAGGCGCGACAGCGUGGGGAGCAACAGG
rnacentral:rRNA from 1 species